AUCAGACAAACAGUUUAAUGUUUGUUUACCAAUACACAAAUCAUAAUGUAAUAUAAUUUUGUAAAUAAAAACUAAUAGGAAGUACAUUUGGAAAACCUAUUGGUUGUCAUUUGAAGGACAGAAGCUAACAGAGAAUCAUCAACCUCUCACAUAAAGUCUGUACGGAAAAUGAAACUCACAAGAUUCUACCUGAGGCAAAACAUAGAACCCUUGGGCAGUUUAUGCAUAUGCAUUGGUAGUCUCCCAGUUGCCUUGACACAAGCAAAUACAAAAUUUUGAUUGGCAACAUUCUAGGAGAAACCUGGACUGUUCCCCCCUGGAAGCCAACCCCUUCUAGUACUGGUAAACUCCAAAAGUGGUGGCGGUCAGGGGGCAGACAUGUUCACAGCUUUCCAGAGACUGCUCAACCCUAAUCAAGUGUACAGCCUCUUAGAGGGAGGCCAUUAUCAGGAGUUUAUGCUUUCAGAUCUAUUUCUGAUUUUCGUGUCUUGAUCUGUGGUGGUGAUGGCACAGUUGGCUGGGUGCUGACAUGUUUGGAUGAUGUUGUUCAAGAGAUGAAGUGUAAGCUACCUGCAUCAGCAGUUCUUCCUCUUGGCAUUGGUAAUGAUCUCUCUCGUGUUCUCCAUUGGGGAGGUGGUUACUCUGGUGGCUAGAGUCCUGUAUCGCUUCUCAUGGCCGUUGAUCAGGCACACGAAGUGUUUCUUGAUAGAUGGUGUGUCAUGUUUGAUUCAGCGGACACUAACGACGGUGCGCUUGGCUCGAUGGGAAGAAGAGAAGACAAUCCUAGUAUUUUUACCAUGAAUAAUUACUUUGGGAACGGAAUUGGAGCUGAGCUUUGUUUAGAUUUUCAUCUCCAGAGGGAGGAAGCACCUGAUAAAUUCCAUAGCAGGUGAGGAUACAAAGGAUUCAAUUUACAGGUUACAAAAUUAGUCGUAGUGCCUUCGAUCGAAGAAAAAGAGUGUUGAUUGCGAAAGCCAUUGGAUGGUAACAAAG